GAUGAACGCUGGCGGCGUGCCUAAUACAUGCAAGUCGAGCGGACAGAUGCGGCUCUUGCUCCUCUGACGUUAGCGGCGGACGGGUGAGUAACACGUGGAUCACCUACCUGUAAGACUGGGAUCACUUCGGGACACCGGCGCUAAUCCCGGAUAAUCUCUUGCACCACGUGGUUCAUUAGUGAAAGACGGUUUUGCUGUCACUUAUCGAUGGAUCGGGGCCGCAUUAGCUGGUUGGUAAGGUAACGGGUUACCACGGCAACGAUGCGUAGCCGACGUGAGAGGGUGAUCGGCGACACUGGAACUGAGACACGGACCAGGGUACUACGGGAGGCAGCAGUAGGGAAUCGUCCGCAAUGGGCGAAAGCCUGACGGAGCAACGGCGCGUGAGUGAUGAAGGUCUUCGGAUCGUAAAACUCUGUUAUUAGUGAAGAACAAAUGUGGAAGUAACUAUGCACGUCUUGACGGUACCUAAUCAGAAAGCCACGGCUAACUACGUG
rnacentral:rRNA from 1 species